AAAAAAUACUGUAGCAAUGAUAAUUAAUUUCUUUUGUGAAUUAUUAUUUUAACAGUACCUCCUGAAAGUCAAUGAAAUCAAGAUUAAAAAAGGAGUGGACUUGCUUCAGAACUUGAUCAAGUAUUUUCAUGCUCAGUGCAAUUUCUUUCAGGAUGGGUUAAAAGCAGUUGAAAGUCUCAAGCCUUCAAUUGAGACACUCUCAACAGAUCUUUAUACAAUUAAACAAGCACAAGAUGAGGAAAGAAGACAAUUAACACAGCUUAGAGAUAUUUUAAAGUCAGCACUCCAGGUUGAUCAGAAAGAGGAUUCUCAGCUUCGUCAGAGUACAGCUUACAGUUUACAUCAGCCUCAGGGAAACAAGGAACAUGGCACUGAACGCAAUGGUAGUCUGUACAAGAAGAGUGAUGGAAUCAGAAAAGUGUGGCAGAAGAGGAAGUGUUCAGUUAAAAAUGGUUUUCUUACAAUUUCCCAUGGUACAGUAA